rnacentral:rRNA from 1 species
GAUGAACGCUGGCGGCGUGCCUAAUACAUGCAAGUCGAGCGAACGGACGAGAAGCUUGCUUCUCUGAUGUUAGCGGCGGACGGGUGAGUAACACGUGGAUAACCUACCUAUAAGACUGGGAUAACUUCGGGAAACCGGAGCUAAUACCGGAUAAUAUUUUGAACCGCAUGGUUCAAAAGUGAAAGACGGUCUUGCUGUCACUUAUAGAUGGAUCCGCGCUGCAUUAGCUAGUUGGUAAGGUAACGGCUUACCAAGGCAACGAUGCAUAGCCGACCUGAGAGGGUGAUCGGCCACACUGGAACUGAGACACGGUCCAGACUCCUACGGGAGGCAGCAGUAGGGAAUCUUCCGCAAUGGGCGAAAGCCUGACGGAGCAACGCCGCGUGAGUGAUGAAGGUCUUCGGAUCGUAAAACUCUGUUAUUAGGGAAGAACAUAUGUGUAAGUAACUGUGCACAUCUUGACGGUACCUAAUCAGAAAGCCACGGCUAACUACGUGCCAGCAGCCGCGGUAAUACGUAGGUGGCAAGCGUUAUCCGGAAUUAUUGGGCGUAAAGCGCGCGUAGGCGGUUUUUUAAGUCUGAUGUGAAAGCCCACGGCUCAACCGUGGAGGGUCAUUGGAAACUGGAAAACUUGAGUGCAGAAGAGGAAAGUGGAAUUCCAUGUGUAGCGGUGAAAUGCGCAGAGAUAUGGAGGAACACCAGUGGCGAAGGCGACUUUCUGGUCUGUAACUGACGCUGAUGUGCGAAAGCGUGGGGAUCAAACAGGAUUAGAUACCCUGGUAGUCCACGCCGUAAACGAUGAGUGCUAAGUGUUAGGGGGUUUCCGCCCCUUAGUGCUGCAGCUAACGCAUUAAGCACUCCGCCUGGGGAGUACGACCGCAAGGUUGAAACUCAAAGGAAUUGACGGGGACCCGCACAAGCGGUGGAGCAUGUGGUUUGAUUCGAAGCAACGCGAAGAACCUUACCAAAUCUUGACAUCCUUUGACAACUCUAGAGAUAGAGCCUUCCCCUUCGGGGGACAAAGUGACAGGUGGUGCAUGGUUGUCGUCAGCUCGUGUCGUGAGAUGUUGGGUUAAGUCCCGCAACGAGCGCAACCCUUAAGCUUAGUUGCCAUCAUUAAGUUGGGCACUCUAAGUUGACUGCCGGUGACAAACCGGAGGAAGGUGGGGAUGACGUCAAAUCAUCAUGCCCCUUAUGAUUUGGGCUACACACGUGCUACAAUGGACAAUACAAAGGGCAGCGAAACCGCGAGGUCAAGCAAAUCCCAUAAAGUUGUUCUCAGUUCGGAUUGUAGUCUGCAACUCGACUACAUGAAGCUGGAAUCGCUAGUAAUCGUAGAUCAGCAUGCUACGGUGAAUACGUUCCCGGGUCU